rnacentral:rRNA from 1 species
UACGAAGGGGGCUAGCGUUGUUCGGAAUCACUGGGCGUAAAGGGCGCGUAGGCGGCUUUGUAAGUCGGGGGUGAAAGCCUGUGGCUCAACCACAGAAUUGCCUUCGAUACUGUAGAGCUUGAGACCGGAAGAGGUUAGUGGAACUGCGAGUGUAGAGGUGAAAUUCGUAGAUAUUCGCAAGAACACCAGUGGCGAAGGCGGCUGUCUGGUCCGGUUCUGACGCUGAGGCGCGAAAGCGUGGGGAGCAAACAGG